UACGUAGGGUGCGAGCGUUAAUCGGAAUUACUGGGCGUAAAGUGUGCGCAGGCGGCAGAGCAAGUCGAGUGUGAAAGCCCCGGGCUUAACUUGGGAAUUGCGCUCGAAACUACUUUGCUGGAGUGUGGCAGAGGAAGGUGGAAUUCCACGUGUAGCGGUGAAAUGCGUAGAGAUGUGGAGGAACACCAAUGGCGAAGGCAGCCUUCUGGGCCAACACUGACGCUCAUGCACGAAAGCGUGGGGAGCGAACAGG
rnacentral:rRNA from 1 species